UACAGAGGUCCCGAGCGUUGUUCGGAUUCACUGGGCGUAAAGGGUGCGUAGGUGGUGAAGUAAGUCGGAUGUGAAAUCUCGGAGCUUAACUCCGAAACUGCAUUGGAAACUACUUUGCUCGAGGGUUGGAGGGGGGGCUGGAAUUCUCGGUGUAGCAGUGAAAUGCGUAGAUAUCGAGAGGAACACCAGUGGCGAAGGCGGGUCUCUGGGCCGAUACUGACGCUGAGGAGCGAAAGCGUGGGGAGCGAACAGG
rnacentral:rRNA from 1 species